GACGAACGCUGGCGGCGUGCUUAACACAUGCAAGUCGAACGGAAAGGCCCUGCUUUUGUGGGGUGCUCGAGUGGCGAACGGGUGAGUAACACGUGAGUAACCUGCCCUUGACUUUGGGAUAACUUCAGGAAACUGGGGCUAAUACCGGAUAGGAGCUCCUGCUGCAUGGUGGGGGUUGGAAAGUUUCGGCGGUUGGGGAUGGACUCGCGGCUUAUCAGCUUGUUGGUGGGGUAGUGGCUUACGAAGGCUUUGACGGAUAGCCGGCCUGAGAGGGGGACCGGCCACAUUGGGACUGAGAGACGGCGCAGACUCCUACGGGAGGCAGCAGUGGGGAAUAUGACACAGUGGGCGGAAGCCUGAUGCAGCAACGCCGCGUGCGGGAUGACGGCCUUCGGGUUGUAAACCGCUUUCGCCUGUGACGAAGCGUGAGUGACGGUAAUGGGUAAAGAAGCACCGGCUAACUACGUG
rnacentral:rRNA from 1 species